AUUGAACGCUGGCGGCAGGCCUAACACAUGCAAGUCGAACGAGUGGCGGACGGGUGAGUAAUGGCUGGGAAACUGCCUGUGGGAGGGGGACAACUAACGGAAACGGUAGCUAAUACCGUAUACAAUCGGAUGCGCCCAGUUGGGUUUAGCUAGUAGGUGGGGGAAAGGCUCACGUAGGCGACGAUCCCUAGCGGGUCUGACAGGAUGACCAGCCACACUGGAACUGUGACACGGUCCAGACUCCUACGGAAGGCAGCAGUGGGGAAUAUUGCACAAUGGGCGCAAGCCUGAUGCAGCCAUGCCGCGUGUAUGAAGAAGGCCUUCGGGUUGUAAAGUACUUUCAGCGGGGAGGCGUUACCCGCAGAAUAAGCACCGGCUAACUCCGUGCCAGCAGCCGCGGUAAUAC
rnacentral:rRNA from 1 species